rnacentral:rRNA from 1 species
AUUGAACGCUGGCGGCAGGCCUAACACAUGCAAGUCGAACGAGUGGCGGACGGGUGAGUAAUGUCUGGGAAACUGCCCGAUGGAGGGGGCUAACUACUGGAAACGGUAGCUAAUACCGCAUACCAUCGGAUGUGCCCAGAUGGGAUUAGCUAGUAGGUGGGGUAACGGCUCACCUAGGCGACGAUCCCUAGCUGGUCUGAGAGGAUGAUAAGCCAAACUGGGACUGUGACACGGCCCAGACUCCUACGGGAGGCAGCAGUGGGGAAUAUUGCACAAUGGGCGCAAGCCGGAUGCAGCCAUGCCGCGUGAAUGAAGAAGGCCUUCGGGUUGUAAAGUUCUUUCGUUAGAGAGGCGUUAACUACAGAAGAAGCACCGGCUAACUCCGUGCCAGCAGCCGCGGUAAUUC